CCAACAUGUUUAACUAACCAACCAACGUGUUUAACCAACCAACCAAUCAAUCAAUGCAUGUUUCCGUUUCAUGUGUUUCAUACGGGAUCCAAGGUUUUUUUUUCGCUUGUUUUAAUUCAGCCUAUCCAACCAACGUGUUUAACCAACGUGUUUAACCAACAUGUUUAACCAACGUGUUUAACUAACCAACCAACGUGUUUAACCAACC
rnacentral:lncRNA from 1 species